rnacentral:rRNA from 1 species
AUUGAACGCUAGCGGGAUGCUUUACACAUGCAAGUCGAACGAGUGGCGGACGGGUGAGAAAUAUAUGGGCCCGUGCCCAGUAGCGGGGGAUACCUACUCGUAAGUAAGGCUAAUAACGCCUUGUAUUGGCGCGGCCGGUAUCGGAUUAGCUAGUUGGUGGGGUAAAGGCUCACCAAGGCAACGAUCCGUAGCUGGUUUGAGAGGACGACCAGCCACACUGGGACUGAGACACGGCCCAGACUCCUACGGGAGGCAGCAGUGGGGAAUUUUGGACAAUGGGGGAAACCCUGAUCCAGCCAUCCCGCGUGUAUGAGAAGGCCUUCGGGUUGUAAAGUACUUUUGGCAGAGAAGCGGUAUCUGCAGAAUAAGCACCGGCUAACUACGUGCCAGCAGCCGCGGUAAUAC